rnacentral:snoRNA from 1 species
ACCUCAUGAUUUGGGCAUUGCAUUAAUUUAGCGUUGAACAUUUGCCAAACUUCAUAUAAUGGUUCACCACUAAGUUGGUAAAAAUUUGUUAUCUCAUCCCUUAGUU